CAGUGAGUAGAACAGUAAAACAUCUCAGUAAAAUAUGAUCUCAUGGAAUGCACCAUAGCACAGACAAGCCACAUCAAGAGUAAACCUGUCACCACAUAGUCCCAGUAACUCUGUGCCAGGGCGUAGAAUCGAGCACUUGGUCUUCCUGUCAUAUAUGUAUAUGUGUAUAUAACACCUCUGUACUUACCAUUGCCAGGGCGUAGUCAAAGGCUCCUGGACUUUACUAUAUAUCUGCCAGGGUGUAGUCAAAGGCUCCUGGAC
rnacentral:lncRNA from 1 species